CCACACUAUAAUACAUACCACUCUCCUGUUGUUGUUAUCUUUGCAGUAGCACGGUUUAAUCCUUGCGAAGCAAAUCCCAUGGACAAGGCAGCAAAGAUCACUCUUGUUCUCACACUCACUGUUGCAUUUGCAUUUGCCUCACUCGAGUCCACCAAUGCUGUUGAGAUAGCUCCCAACACAAAGUUUGUGCCGGCUUCUUCUCUUCUCUCAUACUUCAGGAGCCUGAAAGAGCUGGAGUGCAUGCCGCACUCUCAAUGCUGCCCCGACUCCAAGCCCUGCCCAUCAGAGGACCAGGAGUGUAAGAUCUGUGCCCACACUUAUCCUGCACUGUGCUUCUGCACGGACAAACCUGAGCUUAACAAGCUGAUGCUGUAAUCUGGAGAUGGUCUACCUUUGUACACCUUCUGAUCUGAAGAGUAGAGUAAUAAUUUCUUUAUGUGCCCAUUAAUGGCUGUGAAGUGCCUAUCUCUUUGAUAGCCAUGAGGUGAUCCAAGUCUGUUCAAUUCACUAAGACACAAAAUUUGUGAAAUUGAAGAUAAUACAUCAAGCAUCAAUCUUUGUUGUUU